GUUUGAUCCUGGCUCAGAACGAACGCUGGCGGCAGGCCUAACACAUGCAAGUCGAGCGCACUCUUCGGAGUGAGCGGCGGACGGGUUAGUAACGCGUGGGAAUAUACCCUUUUCUACGGAAUAGCCUCGGGAAACUGAGAGUAAUACCGUAUACGCCCUUCGGGGGAAAGAUUUAUCGGUGAAGGAUUAGCCCGCGUAAGAUUAGAUAGUUGGUGGGGUAAUGGCCUACCAAGUCUACGAUCUUUAGCUGGUUUGAGAGGAUGAUCAGUAACACUGGGACUGAGACACGGCCCAGACUCCUACGGGAGGCAGCAGUGGGGAAUCUUAGACAAUGGGCGCAAGCCUGAUCUAGCCAUGCCGCGUGAGUGACGAAGGCCUUAGGGUCGUAAAGCUCUUUCGCCAGAGAUGAUAAUGACAGUAUCUGGUAAAGAAACCCCGGCUAACUCCGUGCCAGCAGCCGCGGUAAUAAGG
rnacentral:rRNA from 1 species